rnacentral:rRNA from 1 species
GACAGAGGGUGCAAACGUUGCUCGGAAUUACUGGGCGUAAAGCGCGUGUAGGCGGACCAACAAGUCGGACGUGAAAGCCCUGGGCUCAACCCAGGAACUGCAUCCGAAACUGUUGGCCUGGAGUGGUGGAGAGGGAAGCAGAAUUCCUGGUGUAGAGGUGAAAUUCGUAGAUAUCAGGAGGAACACCGGUGGCGAAGGCGGCUUCCUGGACACUUACUGACGCUGAGACGCGAAAGCGUGGGGAGCGAACAGG